GGGGCUCUGGUGUAGUGGUAACAUACCAGGCGGGUGGUCUGCGGUGCUGGGUUCAAUUCCUAGGGGCUCCA